ACAUGAAGCCUGUGCAUUGUACAAGAUUUUCUCAGACUUUGUGAAGUUUACUGUUAAAACUCGUAUCAAGAAAAGUGAGCAGUGCCACCAUCAGCAAAUCCAUGCUAAAAAAUCAUACUGUGUGAAACCACUCGCCACGUACACAGUCAGCCUCUGAUGAGCACCGUAUCCAUGUGCUCUCCAACUGCUUGCCACAGCAAUAUGCACUUAGGCCCCGUGCUUGACAUUCUGGGGAGCACCACCAGUCAUCAUCUUCUGCACCAUCCGGCACGUCAACACAGUCCUUGUGGAACCAUCUCGUUGGGCAACUCAUGUCAAUUCUGAAUUUACUCACCAUCCUCUUCAUCACAUAUGCAUGUAUACUUCCUGUCAUCUUCAACGGCAGCCACGUAUUCAUUGGUGUUUGGCCAUAUGAAUUGAAUAAUUUCCUUGGCCAACUGUGUAACGUCUUCCAAACAUGAGCACAAUUCGCUUAUGGAAGUUCUGUGGUCUUGGGAUUAGCCCCUCUAGACGGUCCCCAGGGAGAGCAGAGGAGGACAUGGCUAUCCUACACUCUAUCAUACGCUCCACCGACAGCUGGUCCCCGUGACAAAUUAUAGGCCAGGGUGUUCCUUCAACAUCCCUCGGUGUGUAUCGAUUAAGAUUCUGUUGAAUACUUGUGAGGAAGAUGCUGCUGCACUGGGAUGUCAAGGUCAAGGAUACUUGCUAGAGUCCUUGCAACAAUCAACUCCAUCCUGGAGCGUAGCUGCUUCCAGUCCUCAUCACUUGAUCAAUGGAACUGGCUGGUACUGUUUCUUCCCAGGAACAAGAAGAGGAUGUGAAGCUGAUUCUGUCAAGCGUUGCAAAGCAGUUUGCCCAGAGCAGCAUCUUAUUUCCACUAUGCCUGCUUUGGUGGCGCGCUACUGACAUUUUCUGGACGUUGUCCCAGCACACAGAAAAACCUGGUAUAUCUGAGAUCUUUCAGGGAGUGGAACAAAUUCUUCAUCGUGGUCUGACUCCGAGUACAGUAUUGUGUCUUCCAACACCAGGGACAGGUCCUGAAUUUCCUGGUCUUCAUCCAGAUCUUCGUCAUCAUCUGUUUCAUCAGACAUGUUGACCUCACUGUCACUGAGAGAUGACCAUUCACUCUCAUCAGUUCUUGUGUCAGCUACCAGUGUUGGUCUCACAUGUAGAACAUGCUGCAAAAAAUGUUUAUUUCCAGUUAGGAACUUGAACUUGGCUGGAAAUCUUUUAUGAAGGAUGAUACUCACAAGAAGUCCAAAUACAGGUACCAAAGGACCAAUCUUGUUACCAGAACUGCAACAUUUGGUUACUGAAGACCGCAACACAGUUGACAGAAGAGGUAGCCCUGAAUCGAUUUCAUUGAGAAAAGCUGUCCAACUGAACUUCUCAAUGCUCUCUAAUGUCAAAUCCUGUCUAAGAGAUGACAGUGUUUUUGAGAAUGCCCUGACUUCAUCCUGGACAAGCAGACCUAUGACUUUUUUUAUGUCUGCAAAAGCCUUCUUGGAGCCUUUCAUCAUUGUUCUUAAAGCAGCAUCAUAGUUUGUGUUAGUCACCUGACGAACUAUGGUCUCAACCAAGGUAGUACUGGUAGGUUUCUAUUGAGAGCAAACAAUGUUAAAAGUUUAAGCUAUUUAUUAGUUCUUAAAUACAUUACUUACACGAAGCAUAUCUGGUGUGUCAUGAAUAAAGAGCUGUUCAAUGGAAA